rnacentral:rRNA from 1 species
CCUACGGGAGGCUGCAGUGAGGAAUAUUGGUCAAUGGCCGCGAGGCUGAACCAGCCAAGUAGCGUGAAGGAUGACUGCCCUAUGGGUUGUAAACUUCUUUUAUAAAGGAAUAAAAUGAGGCACGUGUGCCUUUUUGUAUGUACUUUAUGAAUAAGGAUCGGCUAACUCCGUGCCAGCAGCCGCGGUAAUACGGAGGAUCCGAGCGUUAUCCGGAUUUAUUGGGUUUAAAGGGAGCGUAGAUGGGUUGUUAAGUCAGUUGUGAAAGUUUGCGGCUCAACCGUAAAAUUGCAAUUGAUACUGGCAGUCUUGAGUACAGUUGAGGUAGGCGGAAUGCGUGGUGUAGCGGUGAAAUGCUUAGAUAUCACGAAGAACCCCGAUUGCGAAGGCAGCUUACUAAACUGUCACUGACAUUGAUGCUCGAAAGUGUGGGUAUCAAACAGGAUUAGAUACCCGAGUAGUC